ACAUCUGGGUAAUCGCUGCUCAUCGCAGAGGAAAGUCCAUGCUCACACGGUGCUGAGAUGCCCGUAGUGUUCACGCCUAGCGAAACAAUAAGCUAGGGCAGCUAAGAUCAUUCUUAGUUGACGGCAGGGAAAAUACCUACGUUAUUUUAAUAAUAUGGUGUUGGUACCUUUAAAGUGCCACAGUGACGGAGCUCUGUUGGAAACGACAGAGGUGGAACGAGGUAAACCCCGUGAGUGAGAAACCCAAAUUUUGGUAGGGGAACUUUUUCGCAGGAAAUGAACGAAGAAAAAGGCAAGAUUAACUUGCAGAUAGAUGAUUACCACCGGAGUACGAGGUCUACCUAUGAUCGUUUGGAGUACGAUGGUACAGAACAUGGCUUAUAAGA
rnacentral:RNase_P_RNA from 1 species